rnacentral:rRNA from 1 species
CGGCCACACCAAACAUCAGUUCCCAUAUGAUAACCGAAUUUAAGCAACAUUGAGCAUGGUCAGUACCUAAAUGGGCGACCGCUUGGGAAUACCAAGUGCUGUAAG